UCGACAUCCUCAGAAAAAGAUGAGAUCGACUUUUUGAGCAACGUCGACAUUUCCAGGGAGAAAUGAGAUCGACUCGUUGUCAAAAAUCCGACAUCUUCAGAAAAGGAUCGGCAGUCAUCGACAUCCUCAGAAAAAGAUGAGAUCGACUUUUUGAGCAACGUCGACAUUUCCAGGGAGAAAUGAGAUCGACUCGUUGUCAAAAAUCCGACAUCUUCAGAAAAGGAUCGGUAGUCAUCGACAUCCUCAGAAAAAGAUGAGAUCGACUUUUUGAGUAACAUCGACAUUUCCAGGGAGAAAUGAAAUCGACUUGUUGUCAAAAAUCCGAUAUCUUCAGAAAAGGAUCGGCAGACACAUCGACAUCCUCAGAAAAAGAUGAGAUCGACUUUUUGAGCAACGUCGACAUUUCCAGGGAGAAAUGAGAUCGACUCGUUGUCAAAAAUCCGACAUCUUCAGAAAUCGACAAAAGAAUAUGGUAUUGACCAAAAGAAAGCAUCGGUUACACUAACGUACUUCAGAGUAAAGGUGUAAGUCGAAUAAAGGAAAAGGUAAAAAGUAUAUUUAUUCAAAAUUAC
rnacentral:lncRNA from 1 species